rnacentral:rRNA from 2 species
UAGGGAAUCUUCCGCAAUGGACGAAAGUCUGACGGAGCAACGCCGCGUGAGCGAAGAAGGUCUUCGGAUCGUAAAGCUCUGUUGUUAGGGAAGAACAAGUAUCGGAGGAAAUGCCGGUACCUUGACGGUACCUGACGAGAAAGCCACGGCUAACUACGUGCCAGCAGCCGCGGUAAUACGUAGGUGGCAAGCGUUGUCCGGAAUUAUUGGGCGUAAAGCGCGCGCAGGCGGUCCUUUAAGUCUGAUGUGAAAUCUUGCGGCUCAACCGCAAGCGGUCAUUGGAAACUGGGGGACUUGAGUGCAGAAGAGGAAAGCGGAAUUCCACGUGUAGCGGUGAAAUGCGUAGAGAUGUGGAGGAACACCAGUGGCGAAGGCGGCUUUCUGGUCUGUAACUGACGCUGAGGCGCGAAAGCGUGGGGAGCAAACA